GUGAGGAAUAUUGGUCAAUGGGCGGAAGCCUGAACCAGCCAAGUAGCGUGCAGGACGACGGCCCUAUGGGUUGUAAACUGCUUUUAUACGGGGAUAAAGUCGGCCACGUGUGGUUGAUUGCAGGUACCGUAUGAAUAAGGACCGGCUAAUUCCGUGCCAGCAGCCGCGGUAAUACGGAAGGUCCGGGCGUUAUCCGGAUUUAUUGGGUUUAAAGGGAGCGCAGGCCGGAAGCAAAGCGUGCCGUGAAAUGUAGAUGCUCAACAUCUGAAUUGCGGCGCGAACUGGUUUUCUUGAGUGCAUACGAGGUAGGCGGAAUUUGUGGUGUAGCGGUGAAAUGCUUAGAUAUCACGAAGAACUCCGAUUGCGAAGGCAGCCUACCAGGAUGUAACUGACGCUAAAGCUCGAAAGUGCGGGUAUCGAACAGGAUUAGAUACCCUUGUAGUCC
rnacentral:rRNA from 1 species